rnacentral:rRNA from 1 species
GAUUAACGCUGGCGGCGUGCAUAACACAUGCAAGUCGAACGAUGAAACUUAACUGAUUUCUUCGGAAUGAUUUUAAGUGGAUUAGUGGCGGACGGGUGAGUAACGCGUGAGUAACCUGCCUUGGAGAAGGGGAUAGCCUUUGGAAACGAAGAAUAAUACCCUAUGAUAUGAUAAUAUCUCAUGAUAUUAUCAUCAAAGAUUUAUCGCUCUAAGAUGGACUUGCGUCUGAUUAGUUAGUUGGUGAGGUAACAGCUCACCAAGGCAGCGAUCAGUAGCCGGCUUGUGAGAGUGUACGGCCACAUUGGGACUGAGACACGGCCCAGACUCCUACGGGAGGCAGCAGUGGGGAAUUUUGCACAAUGGGGGAAACGCUGAUGCAGCGCCGCCGCGUGAUUUAGAAGGCCUUCGGGUUGUAAAAAUCUUUUGUAUGGGAAGAAAAUGACAGUACCAUACGAAUAAGGACCGGCUAAUUACGUG